UGUCAUUUAGUAUUUCAAGCCUCUAACUCGAUCACUCCCCCUUUCUUCCGUAUAUAAACAGAAGCAGAGGGAUUCAGCAAGAGAGAGCUCUGGAGAAAGCUGUAACGCCGGACAUCACUCCUCUUACCUCCCAGCAUCUGCACAGCCCAAGUAUGGAGAGAGACGGCCACCAGAAUGCCGAUGCAGGACUACAGAGAACAAUGGAGGAGGCUACUCCACUGAGUUAGAGCAGUACUUUAGGGGAAUUUCACCAAGGCAUGAACGCUGUCUUGGCCUUGUUAAUUGGACUGAAAUACGCACCAGGAAUGGAAACUCUCACCACACUACUUCUUGUUGCCCUAGUCUCCUACUUUGGAUUAAUGUAUGCUGCCAAGAAACUCAAAGCUGAUCCCGAUCUCAGAGAUUUUGGUGCAUUCAUCAACAAGAUGAGCAUCUUGUUUGGAAUUCAUGCCUUGACUUUUGAACUGCUCAUCAUUGUUCUAGCUUAUGGAUCAGUCCCGCUCUUCUUAUGGAGCAUCCUUGUACUGAGCGUUGCAGUUGCAGUUGUGGUUCUUCUUCGCCUAGCCUUUGUGGAAUUGAAGGAGAAACUGAUGUGGAUCAAUGGCCAUUUGAUGGAGUACUGGACAAGGUUCUAUGGCAGAAGCAAAAAUGCAAAACUAGAGAUGACUACGACUGUCUGCAACACAGACCAUGAAGUCCAGGACAAGAACCAGAUGGAAGAGCUACCUCCCCCUGUUUAAUUUGUAGUGACCGGACCACAACGUGUACUAUAGUCCAGGACUAUGUUAUAAUUUCCCGAGGACUAUGCUAUAAUUUCCUGAGAUAUGCAUGAUACAUUUAAAUUUAAUAUGAUAGAUUACUUGUAAAUUGUAAUA